AAUGUGACAUCAGCAAAGUGAGCUGUGUAGCUGUGAAAACAACCAAGUCUUGUAAUGUUUUUGAUUGUCUACUCUGGUGGAGUUUCAAUGACAUAUUUAAGAGUUAACUUGAUCAUUUCCCUGUCAUGAGCACCUCACUCAGUCUAGAGGACGAGAAAAUAUGUUUACACAGCUCGCAGUCAGAUUAUUUAAUUGUAUUUUAUUCGCCCAUUUAAGGAGGGUGCAGCCACAAUGUCAUCAUUUCAGACAUUUAUUAAAGAAGUAACUUGGCUUUUUCAUCAGCGAGAGGCCCAGCAAACACUUUUUUCUUGUGUCCAUUAACCUAAUGACCACCCUCCUCCUGCUUUCAUGGUGCCACACUACACGCAGUAUGGCACUUAUGGCUUAUACAUACCUCUCAUGGUUCAGUCUCUUGAGAGUUUCGAGAGUUUAUCUACUCUCUGAGACCGGCCAUGGGUCGGGCUUGUCUGGUGCUUGCCUGGUCAACCAGGCUGUUGCUGCUGGAGGCCCGCUGCCCCACAUAUCCAUCACGGCCUGGUUGAUCUGGCACCUGGUGAAGAUACUUGUCCCGUUUCGUCUUGAAGGCUUUUACACUGGUUCCAGCCAUGUUUCUGAUAUCUUCUGGUAAGAUGUUGAAUAGUCUAGGACUCCGGAUGUUGAUACAAUGUUCCCUAGAAACACUGAUAACCUAGAAAAACUGAUAUCCUAACCUAAAGGACUAAGAGUGAGUGAGCAUUGUUGAUAUAUCAGCUGUGUGUUUACAAGAAAUGCCCCUCUUUCAUGCUGUGACUGAGUGUAGGCAGCACAUCAAAUACGUAUACAGAGUUGCUAUUUCAGUUUUAGACAGUUUUGAAUUGUGAAUAAUUCACCAUUCACAUUAAAAUAUUGUAAAUGUACGUAUCUCAGUGACCCUGAACCCAGACUGUUGUUUACAUUGCCAGUCUCCCUUUCAUAAAAAAGAUAAGCACAACAAAGAUGACAAAAUCAUCUCAUCCCUGCAGUUAUGAAAGAUUUGAUGAAACCCCAACAAGCUCCCAUGGAAUCUUAAGGUUCUGCAGAAGCUAAUUUAAAAAUACAUGCCCUAGUGUAUGAAUGAAUUUUACAUCAUUAAGUCUCAGCUGUGCUUAUAUUGAGUGACAUUCACAUCUUUGUUCCUACCCCAUACUGUACAUGAAUGCAGUAAACUUCACAUCUUAUUUAAAUUCAAGUACAGUGGACCCCCGCAUAACGAUCACCUCCGAAUGCGACCAAUUAUGUAAGUGUAUUUAUGUAAGUGCGUUUGUACGUGUAUGUUUGGGGGUCUGAAAUGGACUAAUCUACUUCACAAUAUUCCUUAUGGGAACAAAUUCGGCCAGUACUGGCACCUGAACAUACUUCUGGAGUGAAAAAAUAUCGUUAACCGGGGGUCCACUGUACAUACUAUUCACAAACUUGUUUAAAUAAGCAUAUACUGUGUCACACAUUAGUCUGUGACCCACUAUUUAUUCUACUUGAACUAAAUUUUCUAGUAAGCUAACACCUUAUCUAGUUAGGAUCACUUGUUCAUAUGAGUAGUUUCUAAUCUGGAUAUAACCACUUGUUCAUCCGAACACGUGUAUGUAAUCAUUUGUUCAUCCAAAAUAGCUGUCUGAUACAAAGUGUGAAUCCCCAGAUAAUCUAGCCUUGUGAUUUUGGAAAUAAAUUUUAAAACUAAAAUACAAAAAGCCUCCUGCAAAUUGUUUUCAAAUAAAUACUGUAUAGUAAUAACACAAUUAUUAAAUGUUAGGCAGUCAUUAUUAGCCUGUCAAAAAUAAUUUACUCUAAUAGAUGCAUUUUUUUUAUUUAGGAUGUCUGCCAUUUCCCACUGAGGCAGGGUGACUCAAAAAGAAAGAAAAACCCAAAAGAAAGAAAAAAAAACUUAUUAUCAUUCAACACUUUCACCAUCACUCAUACAUAAUCAUUGUCUUUGCAGAGGCACUCAUAUACGACAGCUUAGACGUCCCUCUAAACUGCCAAUAUCCCAAACCCCUCCUUUAACCCUUAAACUGUCCAAACAUACAUCAAUGUUUGCACCGCUAGCACUCCAAGCAUAUAUCUACGUUUUUUAUACAUUUGAAAGCAUGUAAACUGAAACGUAGAUCUAUGUUCAGAGCACUAGCAGAGCAAACGUAGACCUACAUUUGGGCAGUUGAAGGGUUAAAGUGCAGGCAUUGUACUUUGCAUUUCCAGGACUCAAGUCUGGCUAACCAUAUAGCCUAUUAAAAAGAAAAAGAAAAGAUGCAUGUCUAUCAGAAAUUUUUUCUUAGUUAUAUUAUGUAUACAGUACAUAUGUACAGUGGAACUCCGGUUUUCAUAUGGUCCGCAUAUCAUGCAAUUGGGAGGAGGUGUGGGGUUAGAAAAAGUAUUAUUCAGAGGGCUGAAGAGGGAUUAUUGAGGUGGUUUGGUCAUUUAGAGAGGAUGGAGCAAAAUAGAAUGGUUUGGAGGGUGUAUAAAUCUGUAGUGGAGGGGAGGAAGAGAUGGAGGGAGGGGGUAAAAGAUGUUUUGUGUGUAAGGGGCCUGGACAUGCAGCAGGAAUGUGUGACCUUGUUAGAUAGGAGUCAAUGGAGACGAAUGGUUUUUGGGACCUGACGAGCUGUUGGAGUGUGAGCAGGGUAAUAUUUUGUGAAGGGAUUCAGGGAAACUGGUUAGCUGGACUUGAAACCUGGAAAUGGGAAAUAUACUCCGAAUUCUCCGCAUAAUAUUUACACCACACAUUGCCCUAAGACAGGACAUCCCCACCGCCUCCAACCACCUCCUCGCUGCAGCAUUUACAGCCCAAGCUUCACACCCAUAUAAGAGUGUUGGUACCACUAUACUUUCAUACAUUCCCUUCUUUGCCUCCAUAGAUAAUGUUUUUUGUCUCCACAUAUACCUCAGUGCACCACUCGCCUUUUUUCCUUCAUCAAUUCCAUGGUUAACCUCGUCCUUCAUACAUCCAUCUGCUGACACGUCAACUCCCAAAUAUCUGAAAACAUUCACUUCUUCCAUAUUCUCCUCUCCAAUUUGAUAUGCAAUUUUUCUUUAUCUAAAUCAUUUGAUACCCUCAUCACCUUACUCUUUUCUAUGUUCACUUUCAACUUUCUACCCUUACACACACUCCCAAACUUGUCCACUAACCUUGGCAACUUUUCUUUAGGAUCUCCCAUAAGCACAAUAUCAUCAGCAAAAGAUAACUCUGUCAAUUCCCAUUUUGUAUUUGAUUCCCCAUAAUUUAAUCCCACCCCUCUCUCCAACACCCUAGCAUUUACUUCUUUUACAACCCCAUUUAUAAAUAUAUUAAACAACCAUAGUGACAUUACACAUCCCUGUCUAAGACCUACUUUUACCAGGAAGUAGUCUCCCUCUCUUCUACACACCCUAACCUGAUCCUCACUAUCCUCAUAAAAACUC